rnacentral:rRNA from 1 species
GGAGCUUGCUCUCUUUUGGUCUAGCGGCGGACGGGUGAGUAACACGUGGGCAACCUGCCUAUAAGACUGGGAUAACUUCGGGAAACCGGAGCUAAUACCGGAUAAUCCUUUUCCUCUCAUGAGGGAAAGCUGAAAGACGGUGUAAGCUGUCACUUAUAGAUGGGCCCGCGGCGCAUUAGCUAGUUGGUGAGGUAACGGCUCACCAAGGCGACGAUGCGUAGCCGACCUGAGAGGGUGAUCGGCCACACUGGGACUGAGACACGGCCCAGACUCCUACGGGAGGCAGCAGUAGGGAAUCUUCCGCAAUGGACGAAAGUCUGACGGAGCAACGCCGCGUGAACGAUGAAGGCCUUCGGGUCGUAAAGUUCUGUUGUUAGGGAAGAACAAGUACCGGAGUAACUGCCGGUACCUUGACGGUACCUAACCAGAAAGCCACGGCUAACUACGUGCCAGCAGCCGCGGUAAUACGUAGGUGGCAAGCGUUGUCCGGAAUUAUUGGGCGUAAAGCGCGCGCAGGCGGUUCCUUAAGUCUGAUGUGAAAGCCCCCGGCUCAACCGGGGAGGGUCAUUGGAAACUGGGGAACUUGAGUACUGAAGAGGAAAGCGGAAUUCCACGUGUAGCGGUGAAAUGCGUAGAGAUGUGGAGGAACACCAGUGGCGAAGGCGGCUUUCUGGUCAGUAACUGACGCUGAGGCGCGAAAGCGUGGGGAGCAAACAGGAUUAGAUACCCUGGUAGUCCACGCCGUAAACGAUGAGU